GAAAGAUCUCCCAUGCUCAUGGAUUGGCAGGAUUAAUUUAGUAAAACUGGCCAUUUUACCAAAAGCAAUCUACAGAUUCAAUGCAAUCCCCAUCAAAAUAUCAAUCCAAUUCUUCAAAGAGUUAGACAGAACAAUUUGCAAAUUCAUCUGGAAUAACAAAAAACCCAGGAUAGCUAAAGCUAUCCUCAACAAUAAAAGGACUUCAGGGGGAAUCACUAUCCCUGAACUCAAGCAGUAUUACAGAGCAAUAGUGAUAAAAACUGCAUGGUAUUGGUACAGAGACAGACAGAUAGACCAAUGGAAUAGAAUUGAAGACCCAGAAAUG
rnacentral:lncRNA from 1 species